AAAGAAGUAAGGUUAUACUUUUGAAGUAGUUUAGUUUAUUAUUUUUAGCUAUAUCUUAUUUUUGAGUUAAAAUAUGAGUAAAUAAUUCUAAAAAAACGACCAAUCAAUAAUCAACAUGCACACAUUACAUGCAAGUUGAUUGUUGAUUGGUCGUUUAUGAAAAUGAUUUUGCAAUUCAAUUAUAAAAAACUUUUUAAGUUCAGUUUUGAAUACUUUGGUGAUAUGGAGAAAAUCUAUGUAUUUGUAUCUGUAAUAGUGUUCUCUUUUCUGUUUUAUCUUCGAGUUUAUAACUCUCUCCCUAUCGAAAGAAAAAAAAUUGACGACUCAUUUACGGAUCUUCCUGUUGCCCGUGGAUGUUACGACAUAAAUAAUAAUUUUUUUCUGCCUGGACAAAAAAUAAGUACAAACUACGAUAAAAAUUCCAAGUGGUGUUAUGGUAGUUACUGCUCCGAAAAUGGCUCAAUAAUUAGUUGGGAUGAUUGGAAUUGUAAUCUAUUUGAUGCAAAAACAACGCCAACAUUGAAGUCAAAAAGUCUUAAUAAAACGAAUUUUCUUAUAAAAAUGAACAUGAAGAAACAAAGUGAGUAAAUAAAAAAAACACAACAAAGUUUAUAACAAUCAUUUGGUUUGAAACAAAAUUUUUUUUCUCUUGUACUAAUUUAUUACGAAAGCAAGAAAAAAUAAAAAUAA